UACGUAGGGGGCUAGCGUUGUCCGGAAUCAUUGGGCGUAAAGAGCGUGUAGGCGGCCCGGUAAGUCCGCUGUAAAAGUCAAAGGCUUAACCUUUGAAUGUCAGUGGAUACUGCCGGGCUAGAGUCCGGAAGAGGUUAGUGGAAUUCCCAGUGUAGAGGUGAAAUUCGUAGAUAUUGGGAAGAACACCAGUGGCGAAGGCGGCUAACUGGUCCAGCACUGACGCUGAGGUGCGAAAGCGUGGGGAGCAAACAGGAUU
rnacentral:rRNA from 1 species